rnacentral:SRP_RNA from 1 species
ACUGGGAUCUGUGACGUGCUCCUAUAAUCUAGCCACUCGGAGGCUUGGCUGGUUUGAAGAUAGGAAUCGGUUUUCUGCGGCGAUCAGAUGUCUACGCUAAACGAUCGGAUGUCUCCCUGGCGAGGGAGCUCAUUAGGACCAGGUUGUCUAAAGAGAGUCGAUUUGAUCCAAGGCAGAAACGCAGCAGGCUAAAAACCCCGUGUCAAGCAGUAGCGGAAUCGCGCCUGUGAAUAAUCAUUGGCUAGCGGUCUGUUCGAUACAACUGAACACCAGUCUU